rnacentral:rRNA from 1 species
AUUGAACGCUGGCGGCAGGCCUAACACAUGCAAGUCGAACGAGUGGCGGACGGGUGAGUAAUGUCUGGGAAACUGCCCGAGGGAGGGGGAGAACUACUGGAAACGGUAGCUAAUACCGCAUACCAUCGGAUGUGCCCAGCUGGGAUUAGCUUUUAGGUGAGGUCACGGCUCACCUAGGCGACGAGCCCUAGCUGGUCUGAGAGGAGGACCAGCCAAACUGGAAAUGAGACACGGGCCAGACUCCUACGGGAGGCAGCAGUGGGGAAUAUUGCACAAUGGGCGCAAGCCUGAUGCAGCCAUGCCGCGUGGAUGAAGAAGGCCUUCGGGUUGUAAAGUACUUUCAGCGGGGAGGCGUUACCCGCAGAAGAAGCACCGGCUAACUCCGUGCCAGAAGCCGCGGUAAUUC